UUCCUGACCUCAUAAAUACACUUCUAGCUGAAUGGGCAGAAAUUCCCACAGAGACACUGCUAAAGCCUUCCCAAAAGAGUUGCGACUUUGAAAGCCGCAGAGGGGGAUAACUUUCACAAGUAUAGCUCCAGACUGAGAAGGAUUCUGAACCUGAUGAAUCUGCAUGUUUUUGUUCUUAAUGAGCCACAGUCCAACAAUGAGAAGCAGUAUGCUUAGACUUAAACCUUAUACAUCCAGGAAGCACCCCUACACAUAAAGCCUAUCAGCAAUGUAA